rnacentral:rRNA from 1 species
UACGAAGGGGGCUAGCGUUGCUCGGAAUUACUGGGCGUAAAGGGCGCGUAGGCGGAUACUUAAGUCGGGGGUGAAAGCCCGGGGCUCAACCUCGGAAUUGCCUUCGAUACUGGGUAUCUUGAGUUCGGGAGAGGUGAGUGGAAUUCCUAGUGUAGAGGUGAAAUUCGUAGAUAUUAGGAAGAACACCGGUGGCGAAGGCGGCCAUCUGGCUCGGUACUGACGCUCAGGUUCGAAAGCGUGGGGAGCAAACAGG